rnacentral:rRNA from 1 species
UACGUGAGGGACCAAGCGUUGUUCGGAUUUACGUGGGCGUAAAGGGCGCGUAGGCGGCAAUUCAAGUCAGGCUGUGAAAUCUCCCGGGCUUAACUCGGAACGGUCAGCUGAUACUGCUUUGCUAGAGUGCAUGAAGGGGCAAUCGGGAAUUCUUGGUGUAGCGGUGAAAUGCGUAGAGAUCAGGAAGAACACCGGUGGCGAAGGCGCUCUGCUAGGCCGCAACUAGACAGCGAA